CACCCAAACAGGUAUCUCACUUAUAACGUUAGCAAACUAAACUCGAUAUACAACAAGGAAAGUUGAUACAAGUACAGAACAUGCAUAUGAUGGUGGUGUGAUCUUCCUGAUAUCAAUGACGAACAAUCUUCCAACCUUUCAUAUUUAUUUUUGAAAAAUACCCUGGGUCUUGAUUUUUUGGUGUCCACAUGCAAGUUAUAGAAGGAAAAGAUUGAAGGUGAAACUUGCAUAAAUAGGACAUUCACUAUUAUGUGUCUUUCGAUGGCAGAAUACACACUUUAUUUGUCUAUUGAUGCAUUCAUAUUUAUGCAAAUUUGUCAUGUGAAACCAUUAGGCUUGUAUUAGAAGAUUAUUCACAAGAAAUACUUGUUAUUUUGUUAUCUAUAAUUCUACAUGGAAAAUAUGUUGAGUUGUGACUUAAAUUAGUGAGUUGGUUUAGGUUAGAUUGGUAAUUACAUGGUGCGGUGUUCUAAACAAGAAUGGAAUGUGUUGACAUAUUCUGUUUCGGUAAAGACUUUCCUUGUUGGAGUUGGACUUGAAGUAUUUUUCUUAAUGAAAGAAGAAUUCUUCUCCUAGUGAAGGACCUUGUUGCUAGUAUAAAUAGCUUGUGAAGUGUCUAGUUUACAUGUGCCUCCAAUAUUAAUGGCGCGUGGAAACCAAAAGAAUUAGAGUGGUAUUUUGUCGCGAGUGAUCUAUUGGAGUUUAGGUUUUCGGCAGUGAGCUAUUUAAGUGUGUGCUUGAUUAGUGGUUGUAAUGCCUAAUAUUUGAUAGUGAAGUUUUGUGGAGUAGGGUUUGCCGAACCAAGUCAAAUUUUUGUGUCCCUUUUACUUAGUGUUAUUAUUUGGUUUGCUUGGAUUUUGCACAACAACUAGUACCUAGUUCAAGAUUGAUUGAAGAUUUGUGCAAAACAAUUGAAGGACGAGCACAAAAUUUAAGGUGGGGCCAUUUGAUGUGAAGAAAAUCCAAGUGUCGAGACCACUCAUAAUUUGUAUUGAUAUGAAGAAGGAAUUAAAUAGAUUGAGGAUGAAUGAAGGCAUGAAUAUUCUAGAUCACUUGAAUAAAUUUAAUAAAAUGAUUGUAUAAUUGAUGUGAAGAUUGAUGGGGAGGAUCUAGCCCUGAUAUUAUUAGCAUCUCUUCCAAAAUCUUAUGAUGAUUUGAUGACAACAUUGUUGGUUGGGAAAGAGAUGACUAAUGUGGAGGAUAUCACUGCUAUGCUAUUAAAUAGUAAGAUAUUUAAAAAGCUUAGUAGUGGCAACAGAGGUAGUGCUUACGUGAUGAACUUUGAUCAUGGUGAUGAAAAUAUAUUAAAAAAGAACUAAUUUUGAUAGAAUUAAGUCAAGAUCAAGAUCAAAACCAAGAGUGGAUUAUAGUAACAAGGAGUAUUAUUACUAUCACAGGAAAGGUCAUAUCCAAUUUUAUUAUAGGAGGUUGAAGAGUGAUCUAACAGAAUUCAAGGAAAAGAAGAAGAAGAGUUGUGAAGAGCAUGUAGAUGUAGCUUCUACUGCGGUUGGUGAAGUACAUGAUGUAUGAUCUCCUCAAUGUAAGGAUUCAUUGAAGGAUUCAUGGAUUUUAGACUUUGCUUACUCUUUUCAUGUUUUGUGCUAAUAAGGAUUGUUUUAGUAGUUAGGAAAUUUAUGGCGGGGAAUCCAUUGCGUUGGUGGAUAAUCAUGAAGUAGUUGUUGUUGGAAUUGGUAAAGUGAAAAAAAAAAAAAAAAGAUGCAUGAUGGUAUAUAAUGAAUACAUUUGAUGACUUUAGGCACAUGCCAAAUCUUUAAAAGAAUUUGAUUUCAUUUGAAAUACUUGAAAAAAAAAAGAUGCAUGAUGGUAUAAUGAAUACAUUUGAUGACAUUAGGCACAUGCCAAAUCUUUAAAAGAAUUUGAUUUCAUUUGAAAUACUUGAUUCACGUGGUUAUAAGCAUUUUGUUGAAGGUGGAGUUACAAGAGUUAGUCCCGGUUCUUUGGCAAUAACAAAAGGAAAAUUGAUGUGUAAUGAUUUGUAUAAGUUGAUAGGAACUGCAGUUCAAGGUGAAGCAUGCAAUGAAGCGUGUAGUAAAGUAAAUGAAAUGCAUUGUUCAGUUGCAUCCAAGAAGAGAGCUAGUUUUAUUUUGAUAGAUAGUUGUAAAGAAGAUUUUCAUACGAAGAAAUAUGCAAGAUAAAAACAAGUGGAGGUGAAGAAGAGUGGAGUUGCAUACUUCACGAAAACAAGAUCGAUGAUUUGUCACAAUUAAAGCCAAGGUGGAGAUUGUUGAGCUGUGGUUUAAAUUGGUGAUUUCGUUUGUUAGAUUGGUAGUUGCAUUGUGUGGUGUCCUAAACAAGAACGAAAUAUCUUGACAUAUUCUAUUUAGUAAAAGACUUUCCUUGUUGGAGUUGGACUUGAUAUUUUUCUUAAUGAAAGAAGAAUUCUUCUCCUAUUGAAGGACCUUGUUGCUUAAUAAAUAGCACAUGUAGUGGCUGGUUUAUGAAUGCCUCCAAUAUUGAUGGUGUGUGGUGGCAACAAAA